AUAAAAUUAAUUUCUUUUUGCUCCAAUUUGAUCUCCAUGAAUCACAAAGCAUUAUUCUUAGCUUUUUUUGUCAUACUCCUCUGUCUAUUCUCAGCAACUUCUAGAAGAUUGACAGGUUAUGAUUGUAAUGGCUAUAAAUCUCAAGAAGAAUCGUAUCCACCAUGUAGUUCCCUCUACUUUAUCGAUCCGCAGAUACGAAAAAUUCAAGUCCCAAAUUCAAUAUCGUCACCUGCUCGUGGAGCAUGAACAGAGAUUGAGUAACAAAAAAGGUCAUAUUGCGCAAGAACUUUAUAUUAUAUUUACGUAAGUUUAAUUACAUAUGUUUUUUGAGUUGGACUUUUGUAUGUUUGGAUCUCUGUGAUAGAUCUUCAAUGGAGUUAAGUUAUGUAUUUUUUUAAUAUAUAUAUAUAUAUAAUAAAAACAUUUUAUAUAUAUUAAAGUAGGGAAUUUAUGAAUCAAGAAUCUGGUUGUUGGACAUAGUCUCAACAUAUCAGAGAUUCAGAGA